GUGCUCUUUUCGGCAGCACGUGUACUAAAAUUGAAAUGAUAGAGAGAAGAUUAGCAUGGCCCCGUGCAAGGAUGACACACAAAUUUGUGACAUGUUCCAUAUUUUA
ensembl:snRNA U6 U6 spliceosomal RNA